rnacentral:rRNA from 1 species
AGCGAACGCUGGCGGCAGGCUUAACACAUGCAAGUCGAGCGCCGUAGCAAUACGGAGCGGCAGACGGGUGAGUAACACGUGGGAACGUACCUUUUGGUUCGGAACAACCCAGGGAAACUUGGGCUAAUACCGGAUAAGCCCUUACGGGGAAAGAUUUAUCGCCGAAAGAUCGGCCCGCGUCUGAUUAGCUAGUUGGUGAGGUAAUGGCUCACCAAGGCGACGAUCAGUAGCUGGUCUGAGAGGAUGAUCAGCCACACUGGGACUGAGACACGGCCCAGACUCCUACGGGAGGCAGCAGUGGGGAAUAUUGGACAAUGGGCGCAAGCCUGAUCCAGCCAUGCCGCGUGAGUGGUGAAGGCCCUAGGGUUGUAAAGCUCUUUUGUGCGGGAAGAUAAUGACUGUACCGCAAGAAUAAGCCCCGGCUAACUUCGUGCCAGCCGCCGCAGUAAGAC